UACGUAGGGGGCAAGCGUUAUCCGGGUUUACUGGGUGUAAAGGGAGCGUAGGCGGCGAUGCAAGUCAGAAGUGAAAGCCCGGGGCUCAACUCCGGGACUGCUUUUGAAACUGUGUUGCUAGAUUGCAGGAGAGGUAAGUGGAAUUCCUAGUGUAGCGGUGAAAUGCGUAGAUAUUAGGAGGAACACCAGUGGCGAAGGCGGCUUACUGGACUGUAAAUGACGCUGAGGCUCGAAAGCGUGGGGAGCAAACAGG
rnacentral:rRNA from 1 species